rnacentral:rRNA from 1 species
AUUGAACGCUGGCGGCAGGCCUAACACAUGCAAGUCGGACGGUAGCACAGAGGAGCUUGCUCCUCGGGUGACGAGUGGCGGACGGGUGAGUAAUGUCUGGGGAUCUGCCCGAUAGAGGGGGAUAACCACUGGAAACGGUGGCUAAUACCGCAUAACGGCGCAAGACCAAAGAGGGGGACCUUCGGGCCUCUCACUAUCGGAUGAACCCAGAUGGGAUUAGCUAGUAGGCGGGGUAACGGCCAACCUAGGCGACGAUCCCUAGCUGGUCUGAGAGGAUGACCAGCCACACUGGAACUGGGACACGGUCCAGACUCCUACGGGAGGCAGCAGUGGGGAAUAUUGCACAAUGGGCGCAAGCCUGAUGCAGCCAUGCCGCAUGUAUGAAGAAGGCCUUCGGGUUGUAAAGUACUUUCAGCGGGGAGGAAGGCGAUGUGGUUAAUAACCGCGUCGAUUGACGUUACCCGCAGAAGAAGCACCGGCUAACUCCGUGCCAGCCGCCGCAGUAACAC